UAAAUGCCAGCUGCGUUCGCAGCCUCAUUUGCAUGAGCUUCUGCGCUUCUUCAAAAAGUCUGCAGCACUCCUUUUGCGCAAACACCACUCGCACUACGAGUCAGGAUGUGGUCUUCCGCACUUGCGCUUGUCCUUUGGGCUCUGCUGAUUCCUGGAUCUUCUGCCCAGACUUUUCUGAGGCAGACGGACAGACUCAUGUCUGUCUCUCUCGGAGGAAGCGUGACCAUCAGGGCCACAGGGAGUCAAAACAUUGGUUACACUCUCAGUUGGUACCAAGUGAAACCUGGACAGGCUCCCAAACUGCUCAUCUACGACGCAACAUCAAAAUUCUCAGACGCGCCAUCUAGAUUCAGCGGCACUCGCUCCGGCUCUGACUACACUCUGACCAUCAGAGAUGUCCAGAGAGAUGACCUGGCCGAAUACUACUGUUUCGCCUACUACGGUAGUUGGACACGGUGACUCAGAGACAUACAAAAACCUCCUUGGACUUUUGAGGGAAGUGAAAGUGGUCUGUAGAAGGUGGCAAGUGAAAAGCAGAAGAGAGAAGAAUGCUCAACAUAACCGGUCAGAAUUCAAGUUUAAUUCAAGACUAUUCAUGUCUAUUCCACAAUUUAUUACAAUAUAACAUGUGAAAAAAGAUCCUCAUAAAAAUACACAUCACCACACAUUUUCUAGUGAUGGGGAGGUGGGGGGGGGCUUUAGAUGUCACAACAGUAACAUUGUGCCCGAGGGGGAUUACAGGUUAUUGGAUUGGUGCCGAGUGACGUUGGUGGACAUCGUUAAGAGAGACAAGUUCAGGACGUAGCUUGAUAUGGCAUCCUGCAGGGAUAACUGGGUUUGCGUAGGGGAGUGGCAUGGAAAUUCUGUUAUUGGCCACCACCAGUUGACUGUAAAACUUCAGGCCCCAUGGCCAAGGUGUGCAUACAAUGUCGACUGAACCAAACCACGGAAUCAUAAUGUUUUUACCAUGUUUAAUUCUUUAUUAUUAUUACUUAAUUUGUAUUAUAUAAUAUUCUCUCACUUCUACUGUAGGGAGUGUUUUAGUGUAUUGUUUGCUCUCAUUUGGGGUACUAGAUUUAGAUUUAUUGGGCCAGUAUGAACCAAUUACAUCGAGUCCCCAUCCAUUUUUCAUGUUAACUCCCUCCAGUGCAUGAUCAAGACCAUUAAAUCUCCAGAGGUCAUUUGGAUCCUGUGUUCUGAUGUAAGAGUUCUAUCCGCACGUCAUUAGAGGGACAGGGAAAGGGCUUCUCUUCAGUGACACAAUGAUGCGCAGAGUAAACAAGAAGUUUUGACAAUUUCGAUGUUGACCUAUCAAAGCUACUCAGAAAAACUAUAGGUUAACAAUUGUAAUGUAGCAUACAUUCCACAAGGUGUCAGGAAUAUUAUGAGAAGAACAGGCUGGGCCUUUUUUUGUGGAGUCUGCAUAAUGAUGUGAUUCCGUUGAAGGUGAAUAUUUAUAAGACAGCCCUGUGACAGAUGCCUGCCUUCUAGUUUGUCAGCCUCCACGGGGAGAAAUAUACAUGUACUAACUAUAUAUGACAAGUUUAUUUUCAAAAUGUGCUCUGCAUCAAAACUUGCCAUUUUGUUUGAACCUACACUGAAUGUGAUGUAAAUUAUUACAGCCUUCAUGUGGUUACUCUUAUCACUGUCAUCAUGACUCCCGCCCCCACACAGGACACGUGCACAUUCCUGUCAUACUUAAACCAUUCUUUAAUCUGAAUUGGGCAAAUAUGUCCAAAUUAAUAAAUCAUAUUCUAUUAUUUACACAACAUUAAUAAAUACAUUGUCAAUCUUU